rnacentral:rRNA from 1 species
GACGAACGCUGGCGGCGUGCUUAACACAUGCCAGUCGAACGGUGAACUCGAGAGCUUGCUCUUGAGGGAUCAGUGGCGAACGGGUGAGUAACAUGUGAGUAACCUGCCCCAGACUCUGGAAUAACACCUGGAAACAGGUGCUAAUACCGGAUACGACACGAACAGGCAUCUGUAUCGUGUGGAAAGUUUUUCGGUCUGGGAUGGACUCGCGGCCUAUCAGCUAGUUGGUGAGGUAAAGGCUCACCAAGGCGACGACGGGCAGCCGGCCUGAGAGGGCGACCGGCCACAAGGGAACUGAGACACGGUCCUUACUCCUACGGGAGGCAGCAGUGGGGAAUAUUGGACAAUGGGCCACAAGCCUGAUCCAGCAAUUCUGUGUGCACGAUGAAGGUCUUCGGAUUGUAAAGUGCUUUCAGUAGGGAAGAAAAAAAUGACGGUACCUACAGAAGAAGCGACGGCUAAAUAUGUGCCAGCAGCCGCAGUAAGAC